UACGUAGGGUGCAAGCGUUGUCCGGAAUUAUUGGGCGUAAAGAGCUCGUAGGCGGUUUGUCGCGUCGGCUGUGAAAACCUAGGGCUCAACCUGGGCUUGCAGCCGAUACGGGCAAACUAGAAUUCGGUAGGGGAGACUGGAAUUCCUGGUGUAGCGGUGAAAUGCGCAGAUAUCAGGAGGAACACCGGUGGCGAAGGCGGGUCUCUGGGCCGAUAUUGACGCUGAGGAGCGAAAGCGUGGGGAGCGAACAGG
rnacentral:rRNA from 1 species